GGAAAGUUGAAAAGCACUUUGAAAAGAGAGUGCAAGAGAACGUGAAAUCGAUAUAAUGGAAGCGAAUGAAGUCGACGUAUCUGGUGCGUAUUCAGUUGUUCGGUUGGUUGAUGAGUGCUUAAGUUGGAUUCCGCAAGGUUCCGCUUGGGUGUGCGUUGGCUGGCUGGGCGAUGCAUUUACGUUCGGAGUGCGGCGAGUCGGUUGGUGCUGUUGGUGGAGGUUCGGUUAAGAGGGCGCGCUUUUCGGAGUGCGUAACCUUGGCUGGGCGGAUGCCAAUUGGCGCUGGUCGGUUAAGGGAUUAGCAAUGGCCUACGAAUGAACGGUUGGAAUUUUGCAGAUUUUGAGUUUAGCGCUUGCGUUGUUCUCUUAGCUUGCAGGGUUUCGGUCGGCUUAUUCACUUUGCUUUUCUCGCUGUACAGUCGAUCACUCAUUUGACCCGUCUUGAAACACGGACCAAGGAGUUUAUGGUGCACGCGAGUCAUUGGGUCUGAACGAAGCCCAAAGGCGUAAUGAAAGUGAUGUCGUAAAGGCAUGGAUAUGAUCGGUGCGUUUCGGCGUGCCGAGCAGUAUCUCCCCAUUCCUGGAGCUUGCUCUGGUGUGGAGGAUGAGCGUGUGCGAUGAGACCCGAAAGAUGGUGAACUAUGCCUGAACAGGAUGAAGCCAGAGGA
rnacentral:rRNA from 1 species